rnacentral:rRNA from 1 species
AACGAACGCUGGCGGCAUGCCUAACACAUGCAAGUCGAACGAAGCCUUCGGGCUUAGUGGCGCACGGGUGCGUAACGCGUAGAUAAUCUACCUUUCAGCGGGGGAUAACUAGGGGAAACUCUAGCUAAUACCGCAUAAGACCACGGGGUCCCCGGACCCUGAGGGAAAAGACGGCCCCUGCAUAUGCUGUCACUGAAAGAUGAGUCUGCGUCCCAUCAGCUAGUUGGUGAGGUAAUGGCUCACCAAGGCUAAGGCGGGUAGCUGGUCUGAGAGGAUGAUCAGCCACACUGGCACUGGAACACGGGCCAGACUCCUACGGGAGGCAGCAGUGGGGAAUAUUGGGCAAUGGGCGGAAGCCUGACCCAGCCACGCCGCGUGAGUGAUGAAGGCCUUCGGGUUGUAAAGCUCUGUGGGAAGGGGAGAAAAACUGCGACCUAAUACGUCGCAGGUUGACGGUACCUUCUUAGCAAGCACCGGCUAACUCUGUGCCAGCCGCCGCGGUAA